UCAAUACUCCCUCCGUCCGGAAAUACUUGUCAUCAAAAUGAAUAAAAGGGGAUGCAUCUAGACGUAUUUUAGUUCUAGAUACAUCUCUUUUUAUCCAUUUUGAUGACAAGUAUUUUCAGACGGAGGGAGUAUUUU
rnacentral:pre_miRNA from 1 species